rnacentral:rRNA from 1 species
AGUGAACGCUGGCGGUAGGCCUAACACAUGCAAGUCGAACGGCAGCACAGUAAGAGCUUGCUCUUACGGGUGGCGAGUGGCGGACGGGUGGGGAAUACAUCGGAAUCUACUUUUUCGUGGGGGAUAACGUAGGGAAACUUACGCUAAUACCGCAUACGACCUACGGGUGAAAGCAGGGGAUCUUCGGACCUUGCGCGAUUGAAUGAGCCGAUGUCGGAUUAGCUAGUUGGUGGGGUAAGGGCCCACCAAGGCGACGAUCCGUAGCUGGUCUGAGAGGAUGAUCAGCCACACUGGAACUGAGACACGGUCCAGACUCCUACGGGAGGCAGCAGUGGGGAAUAUUGGACAAUGGGCGCAAGCCUGAUCCAGCCAUACCGCGUGGGUGAAGAAGGCCUUCGGGUUGUAAAGCCCUUUUGUUGGGAAAGAAAAGCAGCAGGUUAAUACCCCGCUGUUCUGACGGUACCCAAAGAAUAAGCACCGGCUAACUUCGUG